rnacentral:sRNA from 3 species
GCAGCGGCAAAAUCCGCUGUCGGGUUUGGAACCCCGUUUUCAACAGGACGCAUGACUGCCUAGUCGGUUAUUAU